GCCCAGGUCCCUGAGUUCGGGCGGGUGCAAGCGGAAGACGCAGGAGGGGUGAGGUCACGUCUCCCUUGAGCCCCGCGCCGUUGGCUUUUCAAAGCCUCGCCACGAGCCGGCGGCCAGAGUCCCAGACCGCGCCGACCGUGCGCUCCUGCGCCCUCCCUGCGCCGCUGGCCUCGCCCAUGUCUCAGUACGCCCCCAGCUCGGACUUCAAGAGGGCUUUGGACAGCAGUCCCGAGGCCAACACUGAGGAUGACAAGACCGAGGAGGACGUGCCCAUGCCCAAGAACUACCUGUGGCUCGCCAUCGUCUCGUGUUUUUGCCCCGCGUACCCCAUCAACAUCGUGGCUUUAGUCUUCUCCAUCAUGUCUCUGAACAGCUACAACGAUGGAGACAUCGAAGGAUCCAAGCGGCUUGGGAGGAAUGCCAAGUGGGUGGCCAUUGCCUCCAUCGUUAUUGGCCUUCUCAUCAUCGGUAUUUCUUGUGCCGUUCACUUCACAAGGAAACUGGAAUGAAUCCUUUCCUGGCCUCAAAGUAUCCUCCCACUGCAUUAGGAUUGGAAGAAAGCAUUUAUAUCAAGGGGCUGAGCAGCCAGCAGUCGGCCACGAGCAUGGAGGAUGGACCUCAUCCACACACGCCCCAAAGGAGUCUCUAAGGAAUCGAUCCUUGACUUCAGACUGUGAGAUCUUUUCCUCCAGAACUCUCCAGAGGCAGGUCCCUGGCAAAAGAACUAAAAAAAAGUCCAAAAUUUAGGAAAACCAAGCAGCACAGCCAGAUCAGCCAGAGUCAUUGAUUUUUUUUAAAAAAGAAAAAACUCAAGUCUCAUUGUUCCAGUUUAGCAAAAGCCGCUGUGUCCAUUCCUCUUCUCCAGAGAUCAGCCUCAGGAAAUCUCACUUUCAAUGGGGAGCUGGAGGGGUUCCAGAUUUGGGAGCAGAGAGAGGUUCUAGGAAGAACAAUGGAUGCUGGUAUUUGCAACGUCCAGCACAGACAUUUGCAGCAUGUUUCAAGUUGUCUAAUAGAGUUGAAUUUGUGCAUUUUUUCCUUCUAUUUUCACACAGCUGCCCUUCAAUCUUCAAUAGCUCCUCCUCCAUCAGCCACUGCACCCCCAGAGUUCACCCAUCUCGUCAUCAAAGACACAAAUGAGGGGCUUUCUGGCCAUUUGUCUGAGUCUCACUUUUCCUAAUGGCCCCCCUCCCUUGCUUGCAUCCACCAUUGGUCAACUUGACCUCAACCUCACUUUUCACUUCAACAGACUCUGAGAACGUACUUAAUGGUCAACUCUAGGUACCCAAGCAACUUCUCCAACCCAGCUUUGGGAAUACACUGGCUGUGUUUAUGGAAUGUGCUUUUUCAAACUCUCUCUUUUUUUUUUAGCAAGUCUCAGGCAAGAUCUUUGAUUUUCCUGGAUGCCACCUGGAAAUGCCACCCACUGUAUUUCUUUUCUGUCACAUGUAAACCCUUUAGGUAUGAAUGCACUGGUUUAAUGACACCAUUAUUCUGCCUGCCAGAACACGCUAACCCCAUGUUUCACAGAAUGCAAGGCGUACCACUGGUGGUACACAAGAUAAUUUUUAACUCCUUUAUAGCCACAACACUAAGUAACACCGAAUCACAACAAAUGUUUCCCCUUUUCUAUUCUUUUUCAAUCCUGAUCACAGCAAAGAGAAAGUCUCUGCUUAGUACACACAGGUCCUUAACAUCUUUCUGAUGCUUUGGCUCUUUUCCCUUUUUAACAAAGAAAGAGCAGGCCUCAGGUUCAAAGUCUAGAUAGAAGUAAAUAGUCUAAAUAGAAGUAAAUAACGUGGUUUUGUUUUCAUUGUGUUUAUUUUAUUAAUUAUCUUCCAUUUAUGGCUUUCCACUUAGGGAAGUGAUAUAUCAUUUCUGUUCAAAUAAAUUUACUCAAGAAAUGUUAAAUGGACUCAGAGAAAACUAUCAAGUGAUGAACACGACAGGUGAUAUGUAUAUAUGGCAAAAAAAAAAACUUCAAGAACUAAUAUUAGAAACAGUGAUAAUGGACUUGCCUAAGCAAGAGGAAAGGCAGCUUAUUCUAAAUGAAUGAAUGGAGGCUGCUAAUCAGAACACCUGAGUUCCAAUGCCUUUUUCUGCCACUAACUAGCUAUGCAAGCUGAUUUUAGGCAAGUUUCUUUACCUCUCUGUGCCUCAAAUGUCUUCUUCUGGAAAAUGGAGACAAGAACACCUGCAGAGUUACCUCAGAGAGUUAUGAGAAUUAGUGGCCACAAUAGACAUGAAUGCCCCUGGAGGGAAAUUCUAAGUGCUGUGCAAAUUGUUCUUAGAUCAUUAUGAAUCUCAGGUGUUUGUCAAAAUCCUGGACCCUGGCAAAACGUAACCAUUGAUGGACAACAGAUUCCACCUGUCAUUCCACCCCGAUGUCCAUCACGAGCCAGGGCUCGUCCCAGGAGGACAUUGAAUCAGGGACAUGAAUUCUCAGCACACGGAGCUCCGAGCACCAUUUCAGUACUGUAUGUCGGAUCCUGAUUUCUGUUUCCGACAUCUUGUUUCUUGUUUGUUUGUGUUUGAGUCCCCGAUCUUUUACCCAAAUCAAAUGAAAAGUGUUGCUGAGAGGCAGAAUAAAAAUGGUUUGAAGUAA